AUGACUCCUGUAGAAUUUUCCAUACAUUCCACCUUCAGCACUUUCAUUUCUUCCUUAUGUGACCUAUGUGCAGUCGAUGUUGCGUCAUUUUGGUCACCUUGUCUGAAGAAGGGUCUAAAGAAUUACAAUAUGGGAGGAAAGUACCUUGACAUUCAUCUUCAAGGGAAUGGUGACACUACCCGACACCCCCGUUGUGACGUACGGUGCUGCAUACUCCCCAGUGACCAGCCCCUCUUAAAUUCCAGACCGCUAAAAGGGUGA
rnacentral:lncRNA from 1 species